UACGUAGGGCGCAAGCGUUGUCCGGAAUUAUUGGGCGUAAAGAGCUCGUAGGCGGCUUGUCACGUCUGCUGUGAAAUCCCGGGGCUCAACCCCGGGCGUGCAGUGGAUACGGGCUGGCUAGAGGCAGGCAGGGGAGAACGGAAUUCCCGGUGUAGCGGUGAAAUGCGCAGAUAUCGGGAAGAACACCCGUGGCGAAGGCGGCUCUCUGGGACGGUACUGACGCUGAGACGCGAAAGCGUGGGGAGCGAACAGG
rnacentral:rRNA from 1 species